rnacentral:rRNA from 1 species
UAGCGUAGGGGGCAAGCGUUGUCCGGAAUCAUUGGGCGUAAAGCGCGCGUAGGCGGCCGGUAAGUCCGCUGUAAAAGUCCAGGGCUCAACCCUGGAAAGCCGGUGGAUACUGUCGGGCUAGAGUCCGGAAGAGGCGAGUGGAAUUCCUGGGUGUAGCGGUGGAAUGCGUAGAUAUCUGGAAGGAACACCGGUGGCGAAGGCGGCAUCUGGACCAAUAUUGACGCUGAGGAGGCGAA